CAUUCGGGAAUUAGCAGAGGUUACAUGACUAAAUGUAUAAGUAACAAUCCAGAAAGAACCCCGUGGCUAGAUCCUGCUCAGGUCCACAACAUCCUAGAUGUUCAACCAAGACACUGUGGCCAACUCAGAAGUGGAAGUGUAGAAGCAUCAUUAGUUCCGGCAGGACUAUUCAUUACCUCUCGUCACAUGAUUGCCAUCUAGUGGUGACAGUGCUUACUGUCGCUUAUUCAAUGACAAAGGCCAGAACAGCAACAGACUAAGAAUUAAUGUCUUUCCAGCUGCUGCUUUUUAAGGCUGCAGUGACUGCCUGGAACAGCCAGUAGGAUCGAUCCAGUGACACUUCAUCCCAGCUCCAAGACGUCAGAGCUUGCAAACAGAGACUGUCCAGUCACACCCGCUGUGCCUAGGACAAAGGCCCACUGCCCUGAGUUCCGCCUUCGCCUGGGAGGAUUCCAGAGGAAGGUAGCCUGGUGGCUGACACGUCCGCUGGCUGAGGACUUUGUUGAAUGAAAACAACUGACCACCUUAUGGCAUCUGCUGUUGACCUCCACCCAAGCGGGCACGCCCCACAGCCCGCCUUCCCCUUUAGACUCUGUUUGGACUCUUCCUGACUCCUCCCGCAUUGCUUAUGUUAUGCAAAUAUUAUUGUAACCUAGAGAUCCAGUUUGG